rnacentral:sRNA from 1 species
GCCAGGUGGGGUGGCACCCAUCUGUAAUCCCAGUGACUCUUGGAGGCAGAGAUAGAAGGAUUACAAGUUCCAGGUCAGCCUUAGGCAAUUUAGUUAGACCCUAUCUCAA